rnacentral:miRNA from 1 species
CCCGGGUCCUGGUCCUGGUCCUGGUCCCUUGCCCCGGCUCCAGCCCCGGCCC